AAAUGCUUCAGUAUGUAUAACCUGAAGUGCAAACAAGAAUAAUAAAAAUAAAUUAGUUACAUGGCAUGAGAUGUGAUGUGACAUGAUGCAACUGAAAACAACAAAUCACAAAAGGAAAAUACAUAUAUCUAAGAUUACUAAAUAGGAAAGUUUCAAGCUCCAAGAUGAUGGUUCAACAACAAAAUACAUAUUUGCACACAAUGAAACCAGUGUUGUUAAAAGCGCUAGGUGCCCUUAAGGUGAGAAGGUCCUUCGUUGCCCAAUGCACUAGGCGCUCACUCAAGCGAAGUGAGACAUUAAUUUAUUCUAAAAUAAUAAAUA
rnacentral:misc_RNA from 1 species